rnacentral:rRNA from 1 species
UUAGCGGCGGACGGGUGAGUAACACGUGGGUAACCUGCCCAUAAGACUGGGAUAACUCCGGGAAACCGGGGCUAAUACCGGAUAACAUUUUGAACUGCAUGGUUCGAAAUUGAAAGGCGGCUUCGGCUGUCACUUAUGGAUGGACCCGCGUCGCAUUAGCUAGUUGGUGAGGUAACGGCUCACCAAGGCAACGAUGCGUAGCCGACCUGAGAGGGUGAUCGGCCACACUGGGACUGAGACACGGCCCAGACUCCUACGGGAGGCAGCAGUAGGGAAUCUUCCGCAAUGGACGAAAGUCUGACGGAGCAACGCCGCGUGAGUGAUGAAGGCUUUCGGGUCGUAAAACUCUGUUGUUAGGGAAGAACAAGUGCUAGUUGAAUAAGCUGGCACCUUGACGGUACCUAACCAGAAAGCCACGGCUAACUACGUGCCAGCAGCCGCGGUAAUACGUAGGUGGCAAGCGUUAUCCGGAAUUAUUGGGCGUAAAGCGCGCGCAGGUGGUUUCUUAAGUCUGAUGUGAAAGCCCACGGCUCAACCGUGGAGGGUCAUUGGAAACUGGGAGACUUGAGUGCAGAAGAGGAAAGUGGAAUUCCAUGUGUAGCGGUGAAAUGCGUAGAGAUAUGGAGGAACACCAGUGGCGAAGGCGACUUUCUGGUCUGUAACUGACACUGAGGCGCGAAAGCGUGGGGAGCAA